CCCCCCGUCCGUCUCGUCAGCACUAGCUAAAGCACAACGCAUGCGCGGAUUCGGAGGCUGGAGGAAGGAGCGGCCAGCAGAGAGCAUGACGGGAAGCGUAGGCAGAGUUGAGUCCUGCAACUGAGUGGAGCUGAGUGUUUACUCGCCAGAUGCCCUUCCUGACACCCAUGUGGAGUUCAUAGCAGAGGUCUUUGCGCCCUGAUAAGAGAAAAAUCUGCCGUUGUCUAGGAUUGAACUUUCAACUUUCGGAGUGGGAGGAGAGCGCCUUCAUCUCUAGGCCACCAUGCCACUCAACUGUAGAAUCUUAGAUAAUGAUUAUAUUUCUAGAUAUGUUAUUCAAUACACGCUUAGAAAAUAAACCACAGAAUUGGUGCAGAUAGUUUCUUCAAAGCAAAAAAUUAUAACCUAUUGUUUUUAUGCAACAAGCCAGCUUUCGCUCCAUUUGAAAUGUACAUGAUAAACACAGUAAUUAAUAAAUCAGAUACUGCUACAGUUGUUAUUCUUGUCCCAGGGAGCUACACUUUCAUUCUUAGAACUGAAUUGUAUGACCUUUUAAAAUUCAUGAAAUCAUAUACUUGUAUUUAUUUUACACAUUUAAAUUAAAAAAAAUAUCAAUUUAGUAAAUGUGAUUAUUUGGAAGAUUUGGUGAGAUAUCCUAUCUGGAAUCUGCCUAAUAUUAACCAUAGUCUUACUUUGUACCACACAAUAUAAUUGCUGCAACUCUAAUUAAGGUUGUCAAAUAAAACAAUAAAAGAAUUCGGUAGGAUUG